UACGAAGGGUGCUAGCGUUGUUCGGAAUCACUGGGCGUAAAGCGCGCGUAGGCUGUUUUUCAAGUCAGGGGUGAAAGCCCGGGGCUCAACCCCGGAAUUGCCUUUGAAACUGUAAAACUAGAGUGUCGGAGGGGAUAGCGGAAUUGCUAAUGUAGAGGUGAAAUUCGUAGAUAUUAGCAGGAACACCGGUGGCGAAGGCGGCUAUCUGGACGACAACUGACGCUGAGGCGCGAAAGCGCGGGGAUCAAACAGG
rnacentral:rRNA from 1 species